AACCCCACGUCAGGCUUGGCCACCCGCUGAAUUUAAGCAUUUCAAUAAGCAGAGGAGAAGAAACUUAUGAGGAUUCCCCUAGU
rnacentral:rRNA from 1 species